rnacentral:misc_RNA from 1 species
GUAGGUGAACCUGCGGAAGGAUCAUUAACACUUUUUAAUGAGCAUCCAAAACCUUUUUUGGAUCAACCCAACCAUUUUGCGAACCAAUUUUAAUCAUUUAUUCUUAUCACACAUUUUUAUUAACUCUAAAUUAUUUUAUUCAUUUGUGUCUGAUCCAUUUUUUUAAUUUUAAUUUUUCGAUUUACUUCGAAAAGCAAAAAAAAAGAAAAAAUCUAAACGCAAUACAACUCUUAACAACGGAUAUCUUGGC